AACGGACACUGAACAGGUGAAUCAGAGAGCUUAACUCACUGCAGUAAAGAAAAAUAAAAGACAGACAAAAUCUAAAAGCCGUUUACCAUGAUGAAGAUGAAGAUCUGUGUCAUCCUACUUCUGUGUGUUGCAUCAGGCAAUGCACAGAGCCAACCAACUACACCAGCAACA